AUUGAACGCUGGCGGCAUGCCUUACACAUGCAAGUCGAACGGCAGCACGGGAGCAAUCCUGGUGGCGAGUGGCGAACGGGUGAGUAAUAUAUCGGAACGUGCCCAGUCGUGGGGGAUAACGUAGCGAAAGCUACGCUAAUACCGCAUACGAUCUAUGGAUGAAAGCGGGGGAUCGCAAGACCUCGCGCGAUUGGAGCGGCCGAUAUCAGAUUAGGUAGUUGGUGAGGUAAAGGCUCACCAAGCCGACGAUCUGUAGCUGGUCUGAGAGGACGACCAGCCACACUGGGACUGAGACACGGCCCAGACUCCUACGGGAGGCAGCAGUGGGGAAUUUUGGACAAUGGGCGCAAGCCUGAUCCAGCAAUGCCGCGUGCAGGAUGAAGGCCUUCGGGUUGUAAACUGCUUUUGUACGGAACGAAACGGUGAGCUCUAAUACAGUUUGCUAACGACGGUACCGUAAGAAUAAGCACCGGCUAACUACGUG
rnacentral:rRNA from 1 species